rnacentral:rRNA from 1 species
AAGUCAGCGGCGGACGGGUGAGUAACACGUGGGCAACCUGCCCUGCAGAUUGGGAUAACUCCGGGAAACCGGGGCUAAUACCGAAUAACAUUGAAAACCUCAUGGUUUUCUUUUGAAAGGCGGCUUCGGCUGUCACUGCAGGAUGGGCCCGCGGCGCAUUAGCUAGUUGGUGAGGUAACGGCUCACCAAGGCAACGAUGCGUAGCCGACCUGAGAGGGUGAUCGGCCACACUGGGACUGAGACACGGCCCAGACUCCUACGGGAGGCAGCAGUAGGGAAUCUUCCGCAAUGGACGAAAGUCUGACGGAGCAACGCCGCGUGAGUGAAGAAGGUUUUCGGAUCGUAAAACUCUGUUGUCAGGGAAGAACAAGUAUGGGAGUAACUGCCCGUACCUUGACGGUACCUGGCCAGAAAGCCACGGCUAACUACGUGCCAGCAGCCGCGGUAAUACGUAGGUGGCAAGCGUUGUCCGGAAUUAUUGGGCGUAAAGCGCGCGCAGGCGGCCUUUUAAGUCUGAUGUGAAAGCCCCCGGCUCAACCGGGGAGGGUCAUUGGAAACUGGAAGGCUUGAGUGCAGAAGAGAAGAGCGGAAUUCCACGUGUAGCGGUGAAAUGCGUAGAGAUGUGGAGGAACACCAGUGGCGAAGGCGGCUCUUUGGUCUGUAACUGACGCUGAGGCGCGAAAGCGUGGGGAGCGAACAGGAUUAGAUACCCUGGUAGUCCACGCCGUAAACGAUGAGUGCUAAGUGUUGGGGGGUUUCCGCCCCUCAGUGCUGCAGCUAACGCAUAAGCA